CUGCUCCGGGAAAGGCCUCGUACAGCACGCAUUCACCAGAAUCCUGUCAGCUUUCCUCUUCUCAUCCAGACGCCUGGCCAGGAUCCUCGAUAAGACCGUGACCCCCAACUUGGACACCCCAUAAGGUGAGUUGGGCCAGCCUUCCCUCUCAUGCACCUCAUUUUUUGUGUCCUCCACAAACUUUUUCAUGAGAUCCACCAGGUCUCCUUCUGUGAGUGUCUCACUGUGGAACCUUUCCUGCAGAUCUUCACUGCAGUUUUCAAAAGCCCUUAAACACUGCAAACUACUG
rnacentral:lncRNA from 1 species